UUUUUUUUUUUUUUAAUUUCUCUCAUACUCCUGGAAAUGCUCUCUCGCACCCUCAGGUGCAUACACCCAGGUUAAGAACCACUGCUCUAGAUGAAUCUCUGUGGCCAUUUCAAAUAUACAGAUAUCAUACACCUCAAAGUUCACCUCUUCAUAUUACACCUCAAAGUUCAAUUUUCAUAUAUAUAUGCUUACACUUGUCAGUAUUUUGGAAUGCUUUGUUUGCUUCUGAUGAUGAUUCACCUGAUGGCAAGGUUCAGAAUGAAUAAUAGUUUCAUAUUUGUAUUCCAAUAUUUGUGUCACAAGAACAGUUUAGUUCAAAAAAAUUUAAUAACUAUGCUGAUUUCCCUC
rnacentral:lncRNA from 1 species